UACGUGUUUGCAGGAGAGUUCAGCCCUGCUGACGCCGACGGAGCAACCACCCCGGAAACUCUCAGGCAAAAGGACUGCAAAUAACGC
rfam:Advenella kashmirensis WT001, complete genome.